rnacentral:lncRNA from 1 species
GCCAGCUUGGAGGACAGCCUGAGGGAGGUGGAAGCCCACUAUGCCCUGCAGAUGGAGCACCUCAAUGGGAUCCUGCUGCACCUGUAGUCAGAGUUGGCACAGGUCCAGGCCCAGGAGUACAAGGCCCUGCUCAACAUCAAAGUCAAGCAGGCCCAGGAGUACAAGGCCCCGCUGAACAUCAAAGUCAAGCAGGAGGCUGAGAUCACCACCUACCGCCGCCUGCUGGAAGAUGGCAAGGACUUCAAUCUAGGUGAUGCCCUGGACAGCAGCAACUCCAUGCAAACCAUCAAAAAGACCACCACCCGCCAGAGAAUGGAUGGCAAAGUGCUGUCUGAGACCAAUGACACCAAAUUGAGACAU